rnacentral:rRNA from 1 species
CAAUAGCGUAUAUUAAAGUUGUUGCAGUUAAAAAGCUCGUAGUUGGAUUUGUGGUGUGUCCAGUCGGCCUUUGCUCUCUGAGUGAUUGUGCUGUACUGGUCUGCCAUGUUUGGGUGGAAUCUGUGUGGCAUUAAGUUGUCGUGCAGGGGAUGCCCAUCGUUUACUGUGAAAAAAUUAGAGUGUUCAAAGCAGGCUUAUGCCGUUGAAUAUAUUAGCAUGGAAUAAUGAUAUAGGACCUUGGUACUAUUUUGUUGGUUUGCGCACUAAGGUAAUGAUUAAGAGGGACAGUUGGGGGUAUUUGUAUUCCAUUGUCAGAGGUGAAAUUCUUAGAUUUUUGGAAGACAAACUACUGCGAAAGCAUUUACCAAGGAUGUUUUCAUUA